rnacentral:rRNA from 1 species
AGGAUGAACGCUGGCGGCGUGCUUAACACAUGCAAGUCGAACGAUGAAGGCUGGAGCUUGCUCUGGCUGGAUUAGUGGCGAACGGGUGAGUAACACGUGAGUAACCUGCCCCAGACUCUGGGAUAAGCGC